UACGUAGGGUGCGAGCGUUGUCCGGAUUUAUUGGGCGUAAAGAGCUCGUAGGCGGUUUGUCGCGUCGGCCGUGAAAUCUCCACGCUUAACGUGGAGCGUGCGGUCGAUACGGGCAGACUUGAGUUCGGUAGGGGAGACUGGAAUUCCUGGUGUAGCGGUGAAAUGCGCAGAUAUCAGGAGGAACACCGGUGGCGAAGGCGGGUCUCUGGGCAUCUCCUGACGCUGAGACGCG
rnacentral:rRNA from 1 species